GCGGGAGUAGCUCAGUGGUAGAGCAUCAGCUUCCCAAGCUGAGGGUCGCGGGUUCAAUCCCCGUUUCCCGCU
rnacentral:tRNA from 2 species